AACCAGCACAGUAAGUCUCAUCUUUAAUAAAAAUCCAGACUUAGCAGUGCUAUAGCACAAAAUAGCAGUAAGAGUCAACAUGAAGGAGAGAGGAGAGGAGAGGAGCACACACAGGAACAGACUGAAGGCUGCUCCUUCAGGAAGCUUCUCACUGUGACCACAUGGUUCGGAUUUGUCUCGUCCAGUUGCAGCAAAGAACUAAAACCAGGUUCAGACUUGCAGCGACCGUCUGUUCAUGUCAYGAGAAGAAACCCUGAUAGAAGUCACAAAGAAGGAAGCAGCAGCAAACAACCGGAACAUAUUUUAGAAGCUUUGCUUCACGGUUUCCUCCCCAGCCCUCCAAGAGAGUCUAACUCAUCACUCUUCAUCUUUGAACAAAUCAAAAACACACAUAACUCAUCAGAAACACGUCAUGAACUUAUUAGACAGCACGAGAACAUGAAAAAAACAACAACAUUAAAACAUUACACAUCAGCUCAUCCAGAAGAGGUGACUCACCUAAUACACAAUAAAUAAGAAAUGUUUCCUGACUAAAACGUUUUCUUCUUUUGUUAUUUUCUCUAAUAUUCUUUUCAGCAAGCAGAUAUACAUCAAAUACAUUUAACACAAAUCUUAACAAAAAGACUUUUCAAAAUGACAAAAUGACCUGGUUGCAUGCGCAAAACCAUGUAAACAUUUUCUGCUGAAAUGGACUAACUAAUGCUUUUAUUUUAAAAAAUCUAGCUCUUCUCUGGUUUACAAGGUCCUCACACACACACACACACACACACACACACACACACGGGUUAGGGUUGAACUUGCCGCCGGUUGCCGUUUACGCAGCGCAGGAGCGACACAUGAGAUAAUGCCACAGUGACAGGAAGGUUGUCAGGGCCUCCUCAUAUUUUAACUUCAAAUACAUCAUAAACUUAAAAAUAACUACAUUAGAUAAAACAACAACAAAAACAAAUAACAUCUAAUUCAUCAUCAGUAAAUAAAGGGAAAGUCCGUGUUGUUUUUCUGCCCAGAUCGCACUCGGAGGGAGAGCCCUUGUGCGCGCUGUACGUCCUGAAAUGAGAGAAUUGCGCCUUGCAUAGGAGAUAAUACUAAAUAUAUUGUAUGUACAAAAAUAGAGAUGAAUCUUCUUUUUAAACUCAGCCCUGCAAAGCGCGGUAUACGGCUGAGUUUCUGUGCGCGCGCAGAGGCUCGGGUGAGUUGAUCUGACAGAAGCAGCGGCCAUGAUUCGUGUUGACGGAUCUGAACUAGAGGUGUUUGUUUUGGAGCAUGCAGAACCAGGUUAUAUAUGAAGCCUAAAUUGAUUUGCCUCGUGGCCUGGCGCGCAACACACACUGAACAAUGACAGGCGUUUGAUGGAUUUGCUUUAUUAGCACAAAUCUACUUAAGCCCCGUUUAAGUAGCAGAUUUAUACAGUCAUGUGUUGCCCUGUAAAAGCUGAGCACAUGAUGGGUUACCACCCUGUAAAACACACCRAGACGUGGGAGUUUAAUGCUUUCUAAUUAAAUCCUCAAUCAAUGUGAGAAAUGACUAAAACCAACAACCCCCUGCAUUUUUAUAUGUAUAUAUAUUUAAAAAAAAUCUACAUUUGUGUCGCAUUACAGUAGGCUAAGAUCUCAGAGCUGAUACUAAAACACCAUAGCUCCUAAAUAGCGAUUUAGGUAUGUGAAAACUUUCCAACUGCGGUCUGAAUUUUGAAUGUUAGAAACAGCAGCGUUUUGAGCAUCUGUAUUUUUAAAUUAUUUUUAAUCAGCGCUUGUUUCUUGUAGAACUGUAUUAAUUCCAUGCACAUUAUGUGUUGCCCACAUCACACAUCAUAAAGUACACUUUUAAAAUGAAKAUAUGUAGAUUUGGACCAUUAACAUGUGCUCUAACUAGAGAGAAGACCAGAAGCUGGAAGUUGAAGCCACCAUGAAAGAGCACCCCUAGUGGUCAGCUGCAGUACAAGUUUAAAUCUCAUACCUCUGUGUAAACAAAUGGUAGGCCACGUUUGUCUGAGUGAGAAAAUAAAAAUACAAUUCAGAUAUCUGUUAUUAUUAAUAUUAUUUUUGACACCUUACAGCAUAAUUUUUAAAUAUGCGUAUUCAGUCCUUUUAUUUUAAAUUAGUAGUUUGAGGCUCUAAGAAAAUGUUACAAUGUGCACCCUCCCAACUCACAACAGCCUGUUGGCAAUUUGGAAGAGUGAGUUGGCAGAAUUUCUGCAUUAUUAGUAAAGACCUACAUUCUGAGUGAGUAAAAAUACAGAAAUUUACAAUUUGCCUUCAACUUUGAAUGACAGGAAAAACUAAAGACGCUGCAUCUCUCUCRAUCCUUUAAACCAGAUUUGUGAAAGAUUAUUAUUUAUGAUCAGUUUGGUUUUUAGACCUGGACAUGCUUUCUGGGUGUGCAGUUAAAAAAAAAAUAAUAAUAAUAAAAAAU